CUGUUUUCUCCAGGGAUUCGGAUUGUGAAACUCCUGUCCCUGUGAUGAUUUUUGACCCUUGCUUUCCAGUCUGCCUGGAAAUUACUCCCUGUUAAUUUGCACCUUGACCAUGACCUAUGCUACCUUCUCCCAGACCCUGCUUUGUUCCAUCUGCUGGAUUUCCAUUGUCAGGGUCCUGCCCAGGACUAACCUCUGCUCAUGAACAUCUUCUGGAAUGACUGUCUUGGCACUGACCCACUCACCAUACUGACUAUGGUGAGGCGAGGCACCAUGUUGGAGAGCUCCCUUGGGAAAGAGCUGGAGGCUGAAUGAUCUACAUGGAAUGGCCAGACUCAGGAGGUCAUACCUGGCACCAAAAGAAUAAGUUAAUAAGUAAAAAUCUUAGAUAAAAUAAAGAAAGAGCAGGAAGAAAAAUCUGUCUCAUUCUACAAUCCACCAAUUUUUCCUGAGAUUAUUUGUCAGCUCUAAGGUCACUGACAGGCAGUACAUGGACUGAGUCAUUGGUACCUGCUUCACAGAUGUGGUGGGCAAAGAUAUCCUGUGGUGAGGAAGGGUGAGGGACACAGAAAGCGUCCAGACACUGGGAAUAAGUCUAUUAGUACUGCAAGGUUCUACCAUUUCUUAAGCUUCAGUGACUUUCAGCUUUAUUUCUUUCCCAUCACCCAUACACCAAAGUUUUAUUCCUAAGAUAUAGGAGACUGUUUUCCCUUACUUUUCCUUUUCCCCACCACCUUAAUGUCUUGUCUUUCAUUUCCACCUUUUCUUGAACUUAGAGUUUGUCCUGCCCUGCCUUACCUUGUCCUGUCCUUCCUUUCCCAUCCCUUCCAUUCCCUCCCCUUCCCCUCCUGCCCCCUCCUCUGUUCUCCUUUCCUCUCAUUUCUUUCUUUCUCUCUCUACUUCCUUCCCCUUCCCUCCUUCUCUGUCUUUCUCUCUGUGUAUCUGUCUCUCUAUGUCUGUCUCUCUAUGUCUGUCUGUCUGUCUGUCUGUCUGUCUCUCUCUCUCUCUCUCUCGCACAUCAACUCUUUUUAAAAUUUUUGGACAGGGUCUAAAUAAGUCUCUAGAUUUCCAGGCCUAAGUUAGAAUUUCUGAUCUUCCUCCCUCAGCCUUCCAGAGUGCUGGGAUUACUGGUAUGUAUCACCAUGCCUGGCUGAAUUUACUUUUUCAAUGUCAUAAAAGGCAGUAUAUUCAGGAUCUAGGCUCCAAGUUCAAGGCCAGGAAAAAUUAAGGAAUUUUCCCAAGGUUAUGCACAUGGGGAUGAGUGGAAUAAGAAUAAGAGUGGGGCUCGUGUAGUGGUGGCAUGCAAAUGAAUCCCCAGUUCUAGGACAGACAUUGUCCUGGGCUGUGAGGAAAUCCUAGUGAAUAAGAUGGGAAAGUUCUUAGAGAAUAAAAAGUCAUAUUCUAAAGGCAAAUGAUAUGAAAUAAGCAUAUAAUAAAUAAAUUAAUGGCAGAGGGGGAAAAAGCAUGGGAUGGGGACACAGACAGUGCUAUAUGGAGAUUAAUCAGUUAGCUUUCUGUCACUAUAACAAAAUAUCUGAGAGAAUUAACUUACAAAGAGAAAAGGUUUUACAAGUCCCAGCCCUGACAAGACUGACCCACUGCUUUGACUUGAAGAGUUGUAGAAAAUAACAACAUGCACAAGAUUUUUAUACUUAGGUGUUUGGAUUUCCUCUUGUUUCCUCUUUGCCUCCAUCUGAAGAGCAUUGGAGUGGGCUGAUGACAUGGAGGCUGAGAGACAGCGCCUCCAUUGCAUGAUUUAACCAUGCUUCUUCCAGAGCAAGGGGGUGCAUUGCCUCAUGACUUUCUGGGUGGGUUGGAUUUGUUUUUUGGCCUUCAUCAUUUACACUGGUCAUUGACACUACCAGACCUUUCUACCUAACUGCACACUUAAAAUGUGGUCACGCUUCUGUGACUCCCUUUGCACCAUGCCCUGGCUGCCCGAGUACCUUAAGAUCUCCAUUCCAGGCAGGCCUGGGCUAAGCUCUUGAAAAGUCUGGAACUAGCCACCACUCCUGCACUUACCUUUAGCAGUAACACACGUUUCUCCUUUUAAUGUUCAUGUGCGUUCCAUAUUUCCAGAUUGAAAACUCAUCUGGUUAAACAUCCUCAGACCAUAUUAUGAUGUUUACUGCAAGAGUAAUAUGAAUUCUCAAGAGGUUCUUUAAAUAACUCUGGCUAGGUAAAUAAAUAAAUGAUACCAGUUGUCAUUUACUGCACACCUACCAUGUCCCAGGAACACUUUUAAACUACUGACAUGUAUGCAUUUAGUGCUCACCAAACCCUCUAGUGUAGCUGUCCUGGUGAGGUGAAUUUGAGAGCAUUUGAACACCUGAACAGUAGCCGUGCCCCAGUCUGCAGCUUCUAGGUAAAAAGGAAGGGCCUGGCUUGGGAGAUAAUCUAUAAUUUUUAUAUAUGAAAAUUCAAGAUUUUAACAGUGUGGGGUAUAUGUGUGUAUAUUUUAUAUACUUAUUUUAUGGACACAUGUUAGACUAUGUUAUAACUACAUCAUACACUGUGAGAACUGAACAAAUGUGCUUCCUGGGCAGCGUACCACCUCAGGCCCAGCAAAGAGCCUCUAAGUCAACAGUCUACUCUGGGAUGGUGAGAAAAGCACAGCAUUGGAGCAGCUGUAUAACAGGGUGGUUACCUCUUCAUUUCAUGGACCCUUGAGAUCCUGAGUUUAGAUAGAAGUUAGUGGCAAACUGUCAGCUAGAUCACACUGUUGUGGGCAUUGGAAGUGUAUUCCUAGAGUUCGUUGCAAAUUAGGGGCUUGGUCCAUGCCAUUAAUUUCUUCUUUUUUUUUUUUUUGUACCAGGGAUCGAACUCGGGUCCUUGUGCUUGUGCAGCAGGUGGCAAAACCACUGAGCUAAAUCCCCGGCCCAUCAUUAAUUUAUUCUUUGGGAGGAAGCUCUGGGUAUGGAAACAAGGUCCUGGUACAUCCUAGGUGAAUGCUCCACCACUGAAGCAUACCCACAUCCCUCAGUCAGCUGAACAGGGCGCUGAGCCCACUCUCAGGGAAAUGGGGUCCACAAGAUUCUCUUCUUACUCUUACCCUCCACGGGAGCACCUGACCCAGCCCAAGGACUCAUUUUUUAUGUGAUAUUUGCAAGCUUCUCUAUCUAUACCUUUAUUCCUCCUGGGUAAAAAGUUUGAUAGGAAUGUAAGUGGGUAUCCUUGAAAGAAUAUUUCUAUUUUGACAGGGACCAGUGACUUUGAGUAGCUUGAGAGAAUACUCACGUGAGCCUGAGAAUGCCAUGAGAGAUUGGGCAUAGACACAUUCCCUUUUACCCACCAUGACUCCACAGCCUCCCUAGCUGUUUGUCUCUCUCUUCUACUGAGGCUUCAGGUAGUAUUCUUUUACAAAAAAGGGGCUCUGUGGCAAUGAUGAAGGUAUCUGGAAAAGUUAAAACCUUCCAGCCAAGUUCUAAGCAUCAAUCAUUUUGUUAUCAAUUUUCUGCAAAAAGUUGUGGAUUUUUUUCCCCUGCUCAUAAAUGCCUCCUAGAAAAAUAAGAGUUGCAGUAGGCACUUUCUUUUCCCCAGGCACAGAACUAUCAAACUUCUCAGCUGGAAUUCAGAGACAGUAAGCAAACUCCCUAAAUACUAACAUGGCAUACGAGCUGUUUUCCUGGCAGGAUGGUUUUGUGCCCAUCAACUUGGGAGUGCUAUGGCAACUCAGUGGGGCCUUGCUGAAUAGCAGUGGCACUGGGACUCUUCACUAAGGUCCUUCUGGUGCCAAGCAGUCCCCAAGUCAGAGCAUGUGCUGAUUUCAACAUUUGUUGUCACUGUAGAUAAAGAACAAUCAGCAAAGAUCCUGAUCCCAUGACCCAUUUCUCAAUUCUUCUGGUUUCUGGGAAUCAGCAUACUGAUUAUGUAGACUUGGCUGACUAGGAGAGGCUUGGGAUUCCCCUACUGGCUUAUGUCCUAUUUUGCAAAAUGAACAACUGUUUUCUUUUUCUUCCUCAUUUGCAAGGUAGGGAAAAUACUUCCUCUAGCCCUGUAGCAAAUCUCCUUACUUUGCAAUUGCAUCUUGGUGUUCUGCUAGGUUGGUUAGGUGAAUAGGGGUCUGGUGUCACAAGGCUAAAGAGAAGUGAGGGCCUGGAUAGUUCAUUUUUUUUCUUCCUUAGCCUUUCCUUUUUCUUAUUCCCUCUUCUACCUUUCAUUUAUGUUUCAGGUUAUUUAAUGGAAAAUUGAAAGCAAUAUUUUAAGUAAAAUGCCUGCGUUCUCUUAAUGGGCAUGGCUGUGGCCAACAGACCUAUAGGUCGAAUGGCUAUGACACCAAGCAGUGGGCACAUACACGUGCGUCGGCCAGUGUGCCCAAAUCAAGUACUGUAUGUGUGUGGAACCACAUGCUCUUCUAGAGCUUUUCAGAGCCGGGUGUAUGCUGGGCUGCAAGUGUUUUUCACUUCUUUUUAGUUUUUAAAUGAAGACCCUUUUUAGUUAUCUACCUCGGAUACUCCAUGAAAUGGAAGAAUACCUCACUGCAUUUACCAACUCCAUUGUGUGGCUUAAUUGAUGGUCAGUGUGGGCCUUCUUUGGGUUUUCAGAAUGUGGGAGUUAAUCAUAGUGCUUCCGUUGCUCCCUUUGGCAAUUCUGAGGAGCUACGAGGAUCCUGAUUUGUUCGCUGCAGUUUUAAAUGACAGUGUGUGGGAAACAAAUCAAGGAGUUCUGAGUCUGGUGGAGCUGCAGCUAGGGGCCUGUUCGUACAACCUCCAUGUCCUCAUCUGUAAAGUGAAGGACAAGAAGCAUCUGCAGUCCAAGGCCCCUUCUGGACUCCUGGUUUGAAGCCAGAGAAAUGCACAAUCUUGGAACGCUGAGACGUGGAUACCGCAUGUCUAAUGGAUGGAAUCUUUUUUUGUCUGGGGUAGAAAUAUACAACUAUUGACUGUGUUACGCAUAUGGAGUAAAACUGAUUGCAGGUGGUACAACGGUUUCUUCCUUUCUGCCUCUCCACCUUCCCCUGGCACCAGUUUCCUAUGCUUGGAGAUACGAAUAAUGGGAGCCCAGUGAUCAUGAGAAAAUUCUACUGGGUUGAUGAACAACAACAGUGAAGGGCAGGAACAGUACAAAACCAGUACUGGGAGGACAACUGAGACCCAUAAUUACUCAGUGAGUUGACCUUGCCCUCCUCAGGACACCUGAUGUGCUGCUGAGCGAUAAAAUAUAUGGCUCUGGUAUCAGAUGCAAAUUCACAUCUCCCCACACUGGUAGGUUUCCUGUGAUCCUCAGGCCACGCACUCAUUGACACCCAUCUUUUUCAUUUGCAAUAUAAGUAUAUAAAAAUUAGAUUUUUGUGGGAUGAAAUGAUAGAGCUAUAACUAUUACUAUUAAUUUUUAGUCUGCAGUGUGUCAAGAACAUUAUCCUGACAUGAGUUCUCUUUAUGUACUAAUAUCUAUUUUAUUUUUUUAAAAAAUCUAUUUUAUUUCUAGUUUUCCAGUGAUCUCUGAUAAAAUCACAGGUACCACAGACCUGUGAUGCUCUAUUAAAAUCUAAACAUUUUUUUCUGAGUCAGAAAUAUUUUAAAAAAUCUCAGGAACUUCCCAUACAAGAGUUUAAUUAGGUAAACACAUCAAAGAAUAGCUUAGAUUAUUUUGUUUAUAGUCUCAAGAGAAAGUUCUAAAGGACAUACUCCUUUUAACUUUAAUACACUUUUCCAGGAUCCAUUGUUUUAUUUUGAUUUAUUCCUUAUAAGUACAUUUAAAUGACUGCUAUGAAAUGACAUUUAGGAUACAAAUAUUUUUAAUCUUAAUUUUUAAUAAUUUCUUGUCUUAAAACUCAUAAUAUUUUGAGUUCUAAUAAUAAAACUGGAAUUUUGAUUUUUACAAGUAAUAUCUCAACCAAGAAUCAUCAUAUACAAACCAAAAAAUUUUCAAGACAGUCUGGAUUGUAUUCAAAGUAACAAACAUUAUUCAAAAGUACAAAUUUCAUUCAUAUUUAUUGCAACUCUAUUCAUAACAGCUAAGAAAGGGAAGCAACUUGAGCAUCUAUCAACUGAUGAGUGAACAAGGAAAAUGGGUUAUGUAUACAUAAUGGAAUACUAUUCAUCCAUAAAGAAGGUUGAAAUCCUGUCAUUUGCAAUAUAACAUGAAUGGAAUUGUUGAUCUUUAUAUUAAGUGAAAUCAAUCAGGCACAAAAAAGACAAACAGCACAUGAUCUUGCUCAUAUGCAAAAUCUAAAUAUGUUGAUCUCAUAAAAGUUGUGAGUACAGAAUGAUACAUGUCGAAGAGAAUAGAGAGAGCACAAGGACAGGGAGAGGCUGGCCAAUGGGGAUGAAGUUGCAGUUAGACAGGAGUAAGAUAUUCUGGUGAGCUCCUGUAUGGCAGGGUAACUAGAUAACAAUAAAGUAGUGUAGAUUUUAAAAAGCUAGAAGAGAGGAUAUUGAAUAUCUGUUCCAUAAAAAUGAUAAAUGUUUGUGGAAAUGGACAUACUAACUCUGAUUUGAAUAUUAUACAAUGUAUGAAUGUAUCAAAACUUUACAUGGCUCCUCUUGAUGUGUAUAGUUUUGUAUUUCUAUCAUCAAUUAAAAAUAAAUUUCAAAAAUCCUCAAAAAUAAAUAAAUGACUCACUUGCUUGGCUGUGUUGACUUCUAUUUUCCAUAGUGACUAGAAAAAUCCAAAAGAACUGACUGAAUGUGUCAGAUAUCAUACAGACAGAAUUAGUCAAGAGAAAGUUGACUUCCUUAGAUAUACAUCUUCUCUUAUAUAGAGUCAGACCUAUCCAAAGUAAGAAGAGUGAGAUAAUACUUUAUUGUCUUUUUGUUCUUUUUAGCAUUUAAGGUAGUAGUAGUAGUUGCUGAUAUUUUCAUCGACAAAUAUAAAAUUUUUUUAGUAACUGUUUUUUUUGUCCUUGAGGCUGAACGUAUAACAGAGCCAAUCACGUUACUUCAUUCUGCAAGUGAGGGUAGUUGAUUGACAGAUGCCAUGUGGCCCAAGCUGAACUAAUCUGAAUUCUUCACUUGGCUUUGUUUUGCUGCAGCUAUCAGGGAAUACUUUCUUUCUUCCUAGGUUGAUAAGGAUGGGACUCCCAUACUUCAGGUAUUCAGUAAAUGCUUAACUUUGCCCACUGAAAGUUCAGCUCUUUGUUCACAGCUCCAAGGGUGGUGAACUCAAAACCCACAAGAUACUAUCCUUGAUAAGGAUGGCUGUAUGUAUCUGGGGUUUGAGACAGCCAGACUGUCUAUGCUAACAAUGCAAUUUUUGGUGAGGGCUUGGGCUAUGUGAUACCCCUCAAGCUAUAGAGGAGCUGGAGACAAAAGAUAGGCUCAUAAGUGAUCAAUGUGUCUACAUGGCAGACUCCUAACAAAAAAUCUGGACAACAAAACUUGGAUGAGCUUUCAUGGUUGGGAAUAUUCUGUGUGUGUUAUUACACAUCCUUGCUGAAAGAACAGUGUGCAUCCACCUAAUUUCACUAGGAAUGGGCAACUG
ensembl:lncRNA